rnacentral:rRNA from 1 species
GCUCAGGAUGAACGCUGGCGGCGUGCUUAACACAUGCAAGUCGAACGGAGUGCCUUAGAAAGAGGAUUCGUCCAAUUGAUAAGGUUACUUAGUGGCGGACGGGUGAGUAACGCGUGAGGAACCUACCUCGGAGUGGGGAAUAACAGACCGAAAGGCCUGCUAAUACCGCAUGAUGCAGUUGGACCGCAUGGUCCUGACUGCCAAAGAUUUAUCGCUCUGAGAUGGCCUCGCGUCUGAUUAGCUUGUUGGCGGGGUAAUGGCCCACCAAGGCGACGAUCAGUAGCCGGACUGAGAGGUUGGCCGGCCACAUUGGGACUGAGACACGGCCCAGACUCCUACGGGAGGCAGCAGUA